AUGAAGAUCUUCUGAGGUGUUGAUCAAUUCGUGAAUUCAAAAUAAGAUUAAUCGGUUAUGCUAGAUACAAUAGGCCCUGAAUUGCAAGUUCUUAAUAAAAGUGAAAAAUCGAUUGCACUGAAGGCUGAAUCAUCGGUUGUUUUGACUCCGGAUCAAGAUAAAGAAGCAACUUCAGAUGUAUUGCCAAUCAAUUAUGAUGGAUUAGCAAAGGCAGUAAAGAAAGGAGACACCAUCUUUCUAGGUCAAU